GAUAAACGCUGGCGGCGCACAUAAGACAUGCAAGUCGAACGGACUUAACCAUUAGUUUACUAUUGGAGCGGUUAGUGGCGGACUGGUGAGUAACGCGUAAGCAAUCUGCCUAUCAGAGGGGAAUAACAGUGAGAAAUCACUGCUAAUACCGCAUAAGCUGUGAGUAUCGCAUGAUACAAAUAGAAAAGGAGCAAUCCGCUGAUAGAUGAGCUUGCGUCUGAUUAGUUAGUUGGUGAGGUAACGGCCCACCAAGACGACGAUCGGUAGCCGGACUGAGAGGUUGAACGGCCACAUUGGGACUGAGACACGGCCCAG
rnacentral:rRNA from 1 species